GUCUAAGGCCAUGCCAUCCUGAACAAGCUUGAUCUUGUCUGAUCUUGGAAGCUAAACAGGGUCAGGUCCGGUUAGUACUUGGAUGGGAGACCAUCUAAGAAAACCAGGUGCUGUAGGCA
rnacentral:rRNA from 1 species